GACGAACGCUGGCGGCGUGCUUAACACAUGCAAGUCGAACGGAAAGGCCCUGCUCUUGUGGGGUGCUCGAGUGGCGAACGGGUGAGUAACACGUGAGUAACCUGCCCUUGACUUUGGGAUAACUUCAGGAAACUGGGGCUAAUACCGGAUAGGAGCUCCUGCUGCAUGGUGGUGGUUGGAAAGUUUCGGCGGUUGGGGAUGGACUGGCGGCUUAUCAGCUUGUUGGUGGGGUAGUGGAUUACCAAGGCUUUGACGGGUAGCCGGCCUGGGAGGGUGACCGGCCACAUUGGGACUGCGAUACGGCCCAGAAGCCUACGGGAGGCAGCAGUGGGGAAUAUUGCACAAUGGGCGGAAGCCAGAUGCGGCAACGCCGCGUGCGGGAUGACGGCCUUCGGGUUGUAAACCGCUUUCGCCUGUGACGAAGCGUGAGUGACGGUAAUGGGUAAAGAAGCACCGGCUAACUACGUG
rnacentral:rRNA from 1 species